GUCCACGCCGUAAACGAUGUCGAUUUGGAGGCUGUGUCCUUGAGACGUGGCUUCCGGAGCUAACGCGUUAAAUCGACCGCCUGGGGAGUACGGCCGCAAGGUUAAACUCAAAUGAAUUGACGGGGCCCGCACAAGCGGUGGAGCAUGUGGUUUAAUUCGAUGCAACGCGAAGAACCUUACCUGGCCUUGACAUGUCUGGAAUCCUGCAGAGAUGCGGGAGUGUCUUCGGGAAUCAGAACACAGGUGCUGCAUGGCUGUCGU
rnacentral:rRNA from 1 species